GCAAGUCGAACGGUAGCAGGUUUAGUUUACUAGAUGCUGACGAGUGGCGGACGGGUGAGUAACGCGUAGGAAUUUACCCUAGAGAGUGGGAUAACUUGAGGAAACUUAAGCUAAUACCGGAUAUGGCCUUCGGGUUAAAGGUUGCUUAGGCAGCCGCUUUAGGAUGAGCCUGCGUUAGAUUAGCUUGUUGGUGAGGUAAGGGCACACCAAGGCGACGAUCUAUAGCUGUUCUGAGAGGAAGAUC
rnacentral:rRNA from 1 species